GUAGGUGAACCUGCGGAAGGAUCAUUAGCAAAGCGGCGAGCGAGGUGCGAUGGCUUUCGCCGUCGCGCCGACAGCCAACAACCGACCGACCAUGUCAAACAGCGGCUGGCAUUGCCGGCCGCAGAACACACACGAUGCAUGAUGAUGUAUGAUGAUGAUGCGGUGGUGCGUGCGUGCGUUGCGUGCGUCGCACCGCAGCAAACAACAACAACACACUUUUAACAAUGGAUCUCUUGGCUCUUGCAUCGAU
rnacentral:misc_RNA from 1 species